rnacentral:lncRNA from 1 species
CUAUGGAUUUAUGAGAAUUGAUUUGAAGAAGAGAACUCUAGAUCUUGAUAGCAUUAGAGCUGCUAGGAUGGUAAGAGAAAAGCUAAAGUCAAGCGGACCUGUGUUGGGUGCAUAUGAUCAGUAUACCGGUAAAUCAACCGACGAUGCCAUAGUACCUUUGAAGGAUUAUUUGAAUGCACAAUAUUAUGGAGAGAUUGGAAUUGGCACACCCCCACAGACAUUUAAUGUCAUAUUUGAUACCGGAAGUUCGAACCUUUGGGUUCCAUCGUCAAAGU